CACAAGCUUCCUUCAACCAUGGCUCUCAGCACCUGGGCUGCGUUCCUGUGCGUGACCCUGGCGACCGUCGCGUUCGCGGCGCAGGCCGUGCUCGCCGCCAGAGGUGAUUUAAGCACUGUGAAGCGAGACAGCACGACACCGUAUCGGAAUACCUACCAGGCACCUUCUUAUGCGGCGCCGACGGGGCCACUCCCAGGAUAUCCUCCUCCAAAGUAGUCUGGAGCCUCGGAGGCGAUCGACAAUUGGAGCACGGGAAUACAAGUGCAGCGAGUAUGAAUAAAUUAGUUGCGGAGUGUGUACUCAGUGUUGAUAUAUAAACAUAGUGAUGCACUGAUGCUCGAUUGUACAUCGUUCUAUUUACCUCUCCGAAUAAACGCCACCGAAUGACAUAUGCAUGUGUGCUUG
rnacentral:rRNA from 1 species